rnacentral:tRNA from 1 species
GGCGAGAUAGCCAAGUGGUCUACGGCGCACGGUUCAGGUCCUUGACCUCCGUGUCUCUUCGGGGGCGCGAGUUCGAAUCUCGCUCUCGUCA